UACGAAGGGGGCUAGCGUUGUUCGGAAUUACUGGGCGUAAAGCGCACGCAGGCGGAUUGGUAAGUCAGGGGUGAAAUCCCGGGGCUCAACCUCGGAAUUGCCUUUGAUACUGCCAAUCUUGAGUCCGGGAGAGGUGAGUGGAAUUCCUAGUGUAGGGGUGAAAUUCGUAGAUAUUAGGAAGAACACCAGUGGCGAAGGAGGCUCACUGGCCCGGUACUGACGAUCAGGUGCGAAAGCGUGGGGAGCAAACAGG
rnacentral:rRNA from 1 species